UUCAUGUUGAUUCAGAUGCUAGACUUGCAGUCAGGUAUGUCAUCGACUGCCAUUUGGGAGACUUAUGCUUGCUAUUGGUGUUAAAGCAGCCUGUCCUUAUUUCAUCUCAGAUUUUCCAUCUUCAAAAGCAGGAGUUCGUUUCCUGGGACUGCUUGGAAACGAUGAGAAAGCAUUUGAUAACCUCUAUUGUAUAGCUUUCUGUAUGUUGGAUGCUCAGUGGCUUGCAAGACAUGCUUCUUAUAUGGAGUUCAAUGUAAUUACCUGCUCGCCCUGCAUGUGUGUGUGAGUUUAUUGAUUUUUGCCUCUGAUUUCCAUGUCUUGCUUCGCUCCAGGAGGUUCUGAAGUUCACAAGAAUUCAGUUGGAGCGCGAACUUGCACUGGAAGACGUUACCAGCAUAAAAGACUUGCCUGCAUACAACAUGAUUAUAUAGUCUUUUUUUCAGAUCCAAAUUUGAGCUAUCAAUGCGGGAUUUCGAAGAAUCUUUAUGGAGACCAUCACAAUGCAUAAAACAAACACAAUUGUAAAAAAGGAUAGUGGUGCUGAUUACAAAAAUAAGUUCUUUUCAUCUUUUUAUUUUUAUUUUUUGUAUUUGAAAGGUCAUCUGUUUUCUGCUAAAUAUGAGCAGUAUGUAUUCAACAAAAUUGCUUUAAUGAAGUGACAGGUUGACGAUCGGUGCUCAUUGUAUGAUUGAUAUUAGUCUGUAGUGUGAAACAUUUUGACUUGAUUAUGUUAAUUAAGAGUGCAAUAACUGUUUUUCUUGAAGAUGGAAUAGACACAAAAAAUAUGGCAAAGCAAUUGUCUUAAGGGUUGGAAUGGCAUUAAUGGCAGUGAACAAAUAGCUACAGGAAUGCUAAUGUUAUAAUGGCAAAGAAACACUCAGAAAAUGAUUGAAGACAACCCUAAUGUGAUUAAUAUUCCUAAGGUGGUACCAAAAAUUCAUCAACCUGAAUCAUGCAUUUGAAACCAGUUAUAAUUGAGUCUUGCUGUUGUUUCUCAAAGGUCUUCGUGUACAAGCUAAAACCUGCAGUCAAAAUGGAUUAUGAGCAUAUCAUUAAAGCAUAAAAACUCUUGGCUUGACUAUAGGCAAAACAAUUAAGCAUUAUGUUCUAUAAGUAAAAGUUCUACUUAGAAAAGGUUACCCUAAUAAGCAAGUUAAGACCUUUGGAAUUCAUGACAUUUCCACAUCAUGCUGAAGUGACAUGAUGAAUAUAUGAAUAAUUGAUUGACUACUGAAUAGCUUUAAAUUAGUUCAGUCAUGGAGAAUUAUUUCAAUCAUCAUUCAGUCUCGGGAAAACUCAUGAAGAUUGGUUUCCAUUAGCUUUUUAAUGCUGCUGAGAGAGAGCGAGAGACUUACAGUCCUUUAAGCCAGAUACAGUGAGGUAGCAUCAGCACUAAGAGGGGAUGGAGAAAACCAUGACAUUUGUUGUGUUGCCUCGGCAAAAUUGCAGUCAUGUCUCGAUUUACUAGGUCAAUUGUCAAGCAUGAAGAGGACAAUGCUGCUAAAUCAACCA
rnacentral:lncRNA from 1 species